rnacentral:rRNA from 1 species
AUUGAACGCUGGCGGCAUGCCUUACACAUGCAAGUCGAACGGCAGCACGGGAGCAAUCCUGGUGGCGAGUGGCGAACGGGUGAGUAAAGUAUCGGAACGUGCCCAGUCGUGGGGGAUAACGUAGCGAAAGUUACGCUAAUACCGCAUACGAUCUAUGGAUGAAAGCGGGGGAUCGCAAGACCUCGCGCGAUUGGAGCGGCCGAUAUCAGAUUAGGUAGUUGGUGGGGUAAAGGCUCACCAAGCCGACGAUCUGUAGCUGGUCUGAGAGGACGACCAGCCACACUGGGACUGAGACACGGCCCAGACUCCUACGGGAGGCAGCAGUGGGGAAUUUUGGACAAUGGGCGAAAGCCUGAUCCAGCCAUGCCGCGUGCAGGAUGAAGGCCUUCGGGUUGUAAACUGCUUUUGUACGGAACGAAAAGGUUUGGGCUAAUAAGCUGAGCUCAUGACGGUACCGUAAGAAUAAGCACCGGCUAACUACGUGCCAGCCGCCGCCGUAAAAC